rnacentral:lncRNA from 1 species
UCUUUCACACUUAUCAUCCCAUUUGUCUCCUUGUGCCCUCUUAAUUGCUUUGAAAAAAGGCUUGCAUCGAUCGGUGGACUGUGAGAGGAAGCGGUUGAGCACGACUGCUCGUCUGUUCAAGCUUUGGAUCUCCUUCAAGGUAGUUGGAGACUUCAUCUAUAAGAUUGCUCGAAUCGUCUUGAGAUGUGCUUCGAUUCCUCAUUGGGUUACCAUGAUGUCCUCAACGUAGAACUUCGUGGUUACUCCAAUUUUCUUCGUGGACAUCAUGUUUUCUAGUCGUUUGUAAGUAGCUCUCGUGUUCUUGAAGCCAAAAGGCAUGACCUUGUAGUAAUAGGUGCUUCG